CCUGCCAUGAGCAUCAGGCUCCUGUGCUGUGUGGCCUUUUCUCUCCUGUGUGCAGGUCCAGUGAUGGCUGGGAUCACCCAGGCCUCAAGAUCUCAGAUCCUGGCAGUAGGAUGGAGCAUGACACUGAGAUGUACCCAGGAUAUGAGACAUAAUGCCAUGUACUGGUAUAGACAAGAUCUAGGACUGGGGCUAAGGCUCAUCCAUUACUCAAAUACUGCAGGUACCACUGGCAAAGGAGAAGUCCCUGAUGGUUAUAGUGUCUCCAGAGCAAACACAGAUGAUUCCCCUGUCACGCUGGCAUCUGCUGUACCCUCUCGGACAUCUGCGUACUUCUGUGCCAGCAGUGACUCCACAGUGCUGCACAGCCAUCUCCUCUCUGACAAGGACGUCCCUCCUCCUCUGCUCCUGCUCACAGUGACCCUGAUCGGGUAA